rnacentral:lncRNA from 7 species
CCAGAAAAGGGGGGCGUCGCUGUAUGUUGGUACUAACUGAUACGUCUUUGGGAUGGCCAGAGGUAUUACGCUGUAGAACUAAUAAGGCUGGGAAAGUAACGAAAAUGCUGUUACAUGAAAUAAUUCCAAGAUUCGAGGUUCCUGUAGAAAUCUCAUCAGAUCGAGGCCCACAUUUUUGCCAAGGUGGUCUAACAGAGAAGCACAUUAUGGGAAUUGAUUGGCAAUUGCACACCACCUUAUAGACCGCAGUCAAGCGGACAGGUAUAAAAAUGAAUCACCUGAUCAAAUUACAGAUAGCAAAACUUGGCCAAGAGUCUGGGAUUCCCUGGCCGCAGGCACUGCCUUUGGCACUUCGGAGAAUUCGGACUAAGCCUCGAACCAAGGAAGGAUUAAGCCCAUAUGAGAUUCUUUAUGGGUGACCUUAUACUGUACAAAAGGAAAUCUCUAUGCGGGUUAGGGAUGAGGUGUUAAUAUAAAGUCAGUUUGGUGAAGCACUUAAAGGAAACUAAACAAAGAGUAUUCGGUGCCAAGGCAUGAGGCCCAGGCAGUCCAGUGCAUGAUGUAUUGCCAUGUUGCAAUACAUCAUGCAUAUUGUUUAUGUUAAAUUUCUCUCCGAUUGACCUCUGGAACCAAAGUGGGAAGGACCCUACCAAGUUCUCCUGACCGCCCACACCACUGCCAAGGUACAGGGACUUACACCGUGAACACAUCACACCUGCCUGAAGAAAGCACCAGGAGCACAGUUCGAACUAAGUGUUCAUACAGCCCCAUAGCUAUACAUAACAAGGAAUACCACAGCUUUCUGAGAGCACUUAUCCCAGCUCUAUUAGUUGCCCAGCUAGAAAAAGCUAUAGUAAAUAUCUCUGCAACUCUGGAAAUCAUAGAGAAUGCCACAACAGANNNNNNNNNNCAUUGGGACCAUCGUGGCCAUAUUGUGGCCUUUGGGGCCUUUGGGGCCUUUGGGGCCUUUGGGACCAUCGUGGCCAUAUUGUGGCCUUUGGGGCCUUUGGGGCCUUUUUGGGGCCUUUGGGACCAUCGUGGCCAUAUUGUGGCCUUUGGGGCCUUUGGGGCCAUUGGGACCAUCGUGGCCAUAUUGUGGCCUUUGGGGCCUUUGGGCCUUUGGGCCUUUGGACCAUCGUGGCCAUAUUUGUGGGCCUUUGGGGCCUUGGGGCCUUGGGGCCUUUGGGACCAUCGUGGCCAUAUUGUGGCCUUUGGGGCCUUUGGGCCUUUGGGCCAUUGGGACCAUCGUGGCCAUAUUGUGGCCUUUGGGGCCUUUGGGGCCUUUGGGGCCAUUGGGACCAUCGUGGCCAUAUUGUGGCCUUUGGGGCCUUUGGGGCCUUUGGGGCCAUUGGGACCAUCGUGGCCAUAUUGUGGCCUUUGGGGCCGCCCCGCAGUUUCGGGGUCGAUGGUGUCGGUGUGGAGGGACCGCAGCAGCACUCGGAGUGCACUGCAGACACUGCUGCGGGCCGUGUGGGAGCGCAACAGCUCCUCGUGCCAGGUGUGCCCCCCCGGGUGGCGGCUGUAUGGGGGCAGCUGCUAUAGGGUGGGCAGCGGCGCUGUGGGGUGGGCGCAGGCGGAGGGCCGCUGCCGGGACAGUGGGGCACAGCUGGUGGUCAUCAACGACGCGCAGGAGCAGGUGGGUGCUAUGGGGCGCUAUGGGGCGCUGUGGGGCGCUAUGGGGCCCUGGGGGGCGCUACGGGGCGCUAUGGGGCGGUAUAAGGUUCUAUGGGGCACUAUAGGACACCAUUGGGUUCUAUGGGGUGCUAUGGGGCACUACAGGACACCAUUGGUUUCUAUGGGGUGCUAUGCAGCACAAUUGUGUGCCAUGGGGCGCUAUGGGGCACUAUGGGGCUCUGUGGGGCACUAUAGGACACCAUUGGUUUCUAUGGGGCGCUGUGGGGCACUAUAGGACGCCAUUGGUUUCUAUGGGGUGCCAUUCUAUGGUGUGCUAUGGGGCACUAUGGGGUGCUAUGGGGCGCUAUGGGGCGCUAUGGGGUGCUGGGGGGCGCUAUGGGGUGCUAUGGGGCGCUAUGGGGCGGUAUAAGGUUCUAUGGGGCACUAUAGGACACCAUUGGGUUCUAUGGGGUGCUAUGCAGCACAAUUGGGUGCCAUGGGGCGCUAUGGGGCACAAUGGGGUGCUAUGGGGCAAUAUAAGGUUCUAUGGGGCACUAUGGGGCGCUAUGGGGCGAUAUAAGCUUCUAUGGGGCACUAUUGGACACCAUUGGUUUCUAUGGGGUGCCAUUCUAUGGUGUGCUAUGGGGCACUAUGGGGCACAAUGGGGCGCUAUGGGGUGCUGUGGGGCGCUAUGGGGCGCUGGGGGGCACUAUGGGGUGCUACGGGGCGCUAUGGGGCUCUGUGGGGCACUAUAGGACACCAUUGGUUUCUAUGGGGCGCUAUGGGGCACAAUGGGGCACAAUGGGGCACACUGGGGCACUAUGGGGCGAUAUAAGGUUCUAUGGGGCACUACAGGACACUAUUGGUUUCUAUGGGGUGCUAUGGGAUACAAUGGGGAGCUAUGGGGCGCUGUGGGGCGCUGUGGGGCACUAUAGGACACCAUUGGGUUCUAUGGGGAGCUGUGGGGUGCUGUGGGGCUCUAUGGGGCGCUAUGGGGCGAUAUAAGGUUCUAUGGGGCACUGUAGGACACCAUUGGUUUCUAUGGGGUGCUAUGGGGUACAGUGGGGCGCUAUGGGGCACAAUGGGGCGCUAUGGGGCGCUGUGGGGCACUAUAGGACACCAUUGGGUUCUAUGGGGCGCAGUGGGGCGCUGUGGGGCACUAUAGGACACCAUUGGGUUCUAUGGGGCGCUGUGGGGCUCUAUGGGGCACUAUAGGACACCAUUGGGUUCUAUGGGGCGCUGUGGGGCUCUAUGGGGCACUAUAGGACACCAUUGGCUUCUAUGGGGCGCUGUGGGGCACUAUAGGACACCAUUGGGUUCUAUGGGGCGCAGUGGGGCGCUGUGGGGCACUAUAGGACACCAUUGGCUUCUAUGGGGCGCUGUGGGGCUUUAUGGGGCACUAUAGGACACCAUUGGGUUCUAUGGGGCGCUGUGGGGCUCUAUGGGGCACUAUAGGACACCAUUGGCUUCUAUGGGGCGCUGUGGGGCACUAUAGGACACCAUUGGGUUCUAUGGGGCGCUAUGGGGCGCUGUGGGGCACUAUAGGACACCAUUGGCUUCUAUGGGGCGCAGUGGGGCGCUGUGGGGCGCCGUGCCGGGGGUCCCACCCCCCCUCUCCCCCCCAGGAGUUCCUGACGUCGUUGGCGCCCCCCCACGAGACGUGGAUCGGACUGCACGACCGCAGCACGGAGGGCUCCUUCCAAUGGGGUGGACGGCAGCGCCCUCAGCUUCCGGUGCGCGGGGGGGGAGAUGGGGGCGGGGGGGAUGGGGGUGAUGGGGGGCUGUGGGGUGAUGGGGGGUGUGGGGUGAUGGGGGUUAUGGGGCGAUGGGGGCUAUGGGGUGAUGGGGGCUUGGGGUCAUGGGGGGCGGUGGGGGCGAUGGGGACUAGGGGUAAUGGGGUGAUGGCGGUUAUGGGUGAUGGGGGGUGAUGGGGAGAUGUGGG